GAUGAAGAACGUAGCGAAAUGCGAUACGUAAUGUGAAUUGCAGAAUUCAGCGAAUCAUCGAAUCUUUGAACGCACAUUGCGCCCGCCAGCACUCUGGCGGGCAUGCCUGUUCGAGCGUCAUUUCAACCAUCAAGCCCCAGGCUUGCGUUGGAGCCCUGCGGCUGCCGCAGCCUCCUAAAAGCAGUGGCGGGCUCGCUAUCACACCGAGUGCAGUAGAUUACUCUUCGCUCAGGGCGUGCAGCGGGUUCCGGCCGUGAAACCCCCUACUUUUAAAGGUUGACCUCGGAUCAGGUAGGAAUACCCGCUGAACUUAAGCAUAUCAAUAAGCGGAGGA
rnacentral:misc_RNA from 1 species